rnacentral:rRNA from 1 species
CGGGUGGUAAUGCCGGAUGUUCCACAUGAUCGCAUGUGAUUGUGGGAAAGAUUUCAUCGGCGUGGGAUGGGGUCGCGUCCUAUCAGCUUGUUGGUGAGGUAACGGCUCACCAAGGCUUCGACGGGUAGCCGGCCUGAGAGGGCGACCGGCCACAUUGGGACUGAGAUACGGCCCAGACUCCUACGGGAGGCAGCAGUGGGGAAUAUUGCACAAUGGGCGCAAGCCUGAUGCAGCGACGCCGCGUGAGGGAUGGAGGCCUUCGGGUUGUAAACCUCUUUUGUUUGGGAGCAAGCCUUCGGGUGAGUGUACCUUUCGAAUAAGCGCCGGCUAACUACGUGCCAGCAGCCGCGGUAAUACGUAGGGCGCAAGCGUUAUCCGGAUUUAUUGGGCGUAAAGGGCUCGUAGGCGGCUCGUCGCGUCCGGUGUGAAAGUCCAUCGCUUAACGGUGGAUCUGCGCCGGGUACGGGCGGGCUGGAGUGCGGUAGGGGAGACUGGAAUUCCCGGUGUAACGGUGGAAUGUGUAGAUAUCGG